UUUUCUUGGAUACCCUUGAAACAUGGCCCUCUGACCCCCUGCACAGUUGUCAUCCACAGUCCUGAAGCAGUUACUGUGCCAUUUCAGCUGGCCGUGGUGGGUGGAGUUUCCUGUGUAGACAGACAACAGAGCUCAGUGAUUCAAGGGGAGUGUUGUCUGUUAGCAGAUGUUUGUCUGGACCCAAAAUUUGGCAACCUCCAGACCUGUAGAGACACCAUCUCAGCAUUUGGACAGGAGCCAUGGAGAGGAGACUUGAAAUUGUGCUGAGCCUUCUGUGGGUGCAGGUUUGCUGGGUGACAGGGAUGCAGGUGGAGCAGCGUCCUUCAGUCCUGAGUCUCCAGGAGGGAGCCAACUCUACUGUGAGAUGCAAUUUUUCUACCACCACAACCAAUGUGCAGUGGUUCCAGCAGAAUUCUAGGGGCAGUCUCAUCAGUCUGUUCUACAUGGCUCCAGGGACAAAGGAGAAUGGGAGGUUAAAGUCAACAUUUGAUUCUAAGGAGCUCUAUACCACCCUGCACAUCAGAGAUGCCCAACUGGAAGACUCAGACACCUACUUCUGUGCAGGGAAGGCACAGUGCUCCGAGCCAGCCUGCAACCUGGUACCAAACCACAGGUGGGUCUGCAGCUGCAGCCCUCAUCGUGGUGAGAAGCUGCAGGAACGUUUGCACUUCUGUGGGUUUCCUGAUUUAAGCUGUAUAACCUUCAUCUCUGCUAACAUUAGACAAUCAUGGACUUUAAUUUCACCUAGCUUUUAA